UACCAAUAAAUUAAAGCCAAUAACCUAAUAAGCAGAGCUGCAGAAGCCAUUACAAACAGUGCACGAACGUGGUUACUAUUUAUAAGCGCAUCCCUGUCUUCGUCUGAAAAAUGAAUAAUUGGGAUUCUCUUCGGUAAAAUCCAACAAAUUUUAUGCGAAAUUUUUAGCUCCAGGAAUUUUUAAUAUUCUUGCGAUACAAUGUUCCAGUACUCGAACAAUCAAUAGCUGCGUGCCGGCCACUUUGAAUUAUACGGGAAGCGGGAUAUAGGCGCCCAUUAGAUACGUUAUGCUCUACUUGAAUUAUAAUUAUGGUGAAUGCCCUUUUGCUGACCUGAUCGCGAAUCGGCAUCAGUUUGUCAUGGCUUCUUUGCAAUACGAUAUUACUAGCUCAGCAAAGUUGUUACCUUAUUCCCCCAUGGCGAGAUAAAGGUGGCCCAACAAUCCUGGACACCAGGAUAAACUUCCAUUUGAGAAAAAAUGAAGAUUUGCGGAAGGCUGCAUACGACUGACAAUAUCCAAGCAUAGACGAUCAUCAUGGUACACCGACGGGCACGCCAGUUGUUUAAGGAAGCAAGUAUUUCAUUAAAUAGCCAAAAAUAUCUAACACUGGAUACAGAAACUGGACCCUUCGGAUAUGCGUGAUUUACUAGAAAUCAUCAUAUUGCUCUGUUUCAAAGCAGCACUGGAAUAAUUGCUGCGCUUAUCCUUUCGUAAAAUGGACAACACUGAGAUAUUUCCGAACAGCGCCACUGCAAAGAUUGCUCCCAGGAUGCCGAUUUCGACCUUUGCUAGCUCCUCAUCCCUGGUCAUAAUUCCCGGCACCAUUAUCGAAUAAUUAUAAUCCACACUAUCGUUGUCCAUGUUUAUAACUGGAAAUGCAAGGUGCAGCUGAUAUUUUCAAUCCGUAAUUGGUAAUAAAUCGCAAGGUAUGCAGUCCCACGACAACAUUAUAUUGGUAUACACAGUUUCCGGUCAACAGUUGUCCCACCAUGAGGUAGGUUCAUGUAAGUAUAAAGUACUGCGGUAACAUUGUGAUCAGCCUUGUCAAAU